GACGAACGCUGGCGGCGUGCUAAUACAUGCAAGUCGAGCGGACAGAUGGGAGCUUGCUCCUGAUGUUAGCGGCGGACGGGUGAGUAACACGUGGGUAACCUGCCUGUAAGACUGGGAUAACUCCGGGAAACCGGGGCUAAUACCGGAUGGUUGUUUGAACCGCAUGGUUCAAACAUAAAAGGUGGCUUCGGCUACCACUUACAGAUGGACCCGCGGCGCAUUAGCUAGUUGGUGAGGUAACGGCUCACCAAGGCAACGAUGCGUAGCCGACCUGAGAGGGUGAUCGGCCACACUGGGACUGAGACACGGCCCAGACUCCUACGGGAGGCAGCAGUAGGGAAUCUUCCGCAAUGGACGAAAGUCUGACGGAGCAACGCCGCGUGAGUGAUGAAGGUUUUCGGAUCGUAAAGCUCUGUUGUUAGGGAAGAACAAGUACCGUUCGAAUAGGGCGGUACCUUGACGGUACCUAACCAGAAAGCCACGGCUAACUACGUGCCAGCAGCCGCGGUAAUACGUAGGUGGCAAGCGUUGUCCGGAAUUAUUGGGCGUAAAGGGCUCGCAGGCGGUUUCUUAAGUCUGAUGUGAAAGCCCCCGGCUCAACCGGGGAGGGUCAUUGGAAACUGGGGAACUUGAGUGCAGAAGAGGAGAGUGGAAUUCCACGUGUAGCGGUGAAAUGCGUAGAGAUGUGGAGGAACACCAGUGGCGAAGGCGACUCUCUGGU
rnacentral:rRNA from 1 species